UGGUGGAUUAGUGGCGAACGGGUGAGUAACACGUGAGUAACCUGCCCUUAACUCUGGGAUAAGCCUGGGAAACUGGGUCUAAUACCGGAUAUGACUCCUCAUCGCAUGGUGGGGGGUGGAAAGCUUUUGUGGUUUUGGAUGGACUCGCGGCCUAUCAGCUUGUUGGUGAGGUAAUGGCUCACCAAGGCGACGACGGGUAGCCGGCCUGAGAGGGUGACCGGCCACACUGGGACUGAGACACGGCCCAGACUCCUACGGGAGGCAGCAGUGGGGAAUAUUGCACAAUGGGCGGAAGCCUGAUGCAGCGACGCCGCGUGAGGGAUGACGGCCUUCGGGUUGUAAACCUCUUUCAGUAGGGAAGAAGCGAAAGUGACGGUACCUGCAGAAGAAGCGCCGGCUAACUACGUGCCAGCAGCCGCGGUAAUACGUAGGGCGCAAGCGUUAUCCGGAAUUAUUGGGCGUAAAGAGCUCGUAGGCGGUUUGUCGCGUCUGCCGUGAAAGUCCGGGGCUCAACUCCGGAUCUGCGGUGGGUACGGGCAGACUAGAGUGAUGUAGGGGAGACUGGAAUUCCUGGUGUAGCGGUGAAAUGCGCAGAUAUCAGGAGGAACACCGAUGGCGAAGGCAGGUCUCUGGGCAUUAACUGACG
rnacentral:rRNA from 1 species